rnacentral:rRNA from 1 species
UACGUAGGGGGCGAGCGUUGUCCGGAUUUAUUGGGCGUAAAGAGCUCGUAGGCGGUUCGAUAAGUCGGACGUGAAAUCUCCACGCUCAACGUGGAGGGGCCGUUCGAUACUGUCGUGACUCGAGUCCGGUAGGGGAGUGUGGAAUUCCCGGUGUAGCGGUGAAAUGCGCAGAGAUCGGGAGGAACACCCGUAGCGAAGGCGGCACUCUGGGCCGGUACUGGACGCUGAGGAGCGAAAGCGUGGGGAGCAACAGGAUUAAGAAAC